rfam:Homo sapiens chromosome 5, GRCh38 reference primary assembly.
GCUGGGCGUGGUGGCGCAUGCCUGUAAUCCCAGCUGCUCGGGAGGCUGAGGCAGGAGAAUUACUUGAACCUGGGAGGUGGAGGUUGCAGUGAGCCGAGAUUGCGCCACUGCACUCCAGCCUGGGUGACAGAGCAAUACUCCGUCUCAA